GGCUUCGUAGCUCAGCGGAUUAGAGUACUUCCCUCCGAAGGAAGGGGUCGCGCGUUCGAAUCGCGCCGAGGCCACCA
rnacentral:tRNA from 1 species